CUUCUUGGUCUCACAGUUAUUGACAGGGAUGGGGUCAGUAAUACGUGCUCCAAAUCCAUUAUGCUGUGAGCUUAGUCCAGGGGCAGCUGUUUGGCCAUGUGUAGAUUUUCUUGAAUGGAAUCUCAAUCCGCUGUUGUAUGUCCUUCACAUCAUUGCUGCAGAGUGACAACAGGAGAUUUUCUACUCAUUAGACAAGAGACCUCACAGACAAAUCUUAUGUGGAAAUGCUCUCACAGACAGAUCCAACUCCAAGAACUCAGGACCACCAGACGAAGAGUAGCCCAACCCUUAAUGAUCUGGUCCCUUCCACAUCAAUCACUAAUUAAGAAGAUGCCUUACAGGCUUGCCUACACAGAGCAAGUCUUUCCGUCUCUCAAAACACCCUCAUCGAUACAUCCAAGUUGUGCUAUUUCUUAAUCCAAUAAAGUUGUUCGACAAAAUUAGCCAUCACAGCUUUCGAAGAGUAACAACAACAAAAGCCUGUGAAGGGAGAUUGUGGGCAUGAGAAAGGGACCAAGAAGAGGCAGGAGGGGGUAAGUCAGAGAAACCUGACCUAAGUGUAUUUUAUGCAGGUAAGGAAAUUAUGAGAUGCAUUAUUCUGUACAAUUAAUGGGCACUAAUGAAAAAGUUACAAAACGUUAAUGCAUGCAAUUCUCAUAUAAAAAUUUAGGGUAAUAAAACUUGUAUAUUCAUAACCAAACAUUUUUAUUAGUGAUACCAUAAUCCUAAAGAAAACUUGAACUAGGACAUAAAAAUCCCUAGUUCUUACAUUAAUUUGUUCUGCACCAAUGAAUAAUAAAAAGCAAACAGAUUCCAGUGUUACCUGCCAUAUAUCGUGUGUGUUCCUGGCUAGUUGUGAAGGUUUGCAACAACGUUAUUAAAGUCACACCUAUAGGAUCAGCACAUCCAGCCUUUAUGUCAAAUCUCAUUUGAAAUAUACAAGAAAUGCUGCACUGUCUUUCUGACACAAGGAUUUUUUAAAAAAAAUAAUGUUAUGGCUUGGAUGUGAUUCAGAAAAAAAAAAGUGUCAUACCUCCAACACAAUGUAAUGGUUAAGUGUGAGAUUAGAUUUUUUCCCAAAAAGUCCUAAGUGACAUGUUUGUGAGUUUAGAGUCCCCUGCUUAAUGGAACAGACCACCCUGCUACUUGCACAUCACAGUGCUGACAACAUUGCUCAGCAGUCCAUCUGUCUGUGGGCAAUUGGAAUCCUAACCCUUGCACAGAGUUGGAGGUGGCAGUGAUGGCAUUUCAUUUCCUUGUGUCCAGUGCUGAACACGAUAUAUUUUCUCUCGGUGCUUGGAGUUCUGGGCUAACUGAACCCCAUACCACCACCACCACCACCACCUGAAUUUUCUCACUUUGUAGCUCUUCCCUGUCUUAGGUGUAUGUUUGUGGUCCACUUUAGUUUAUUUUAUUACAAGUCAACAUUUGGAAAAAUAUAGCCAUCAGUAAUGACUGCUUCUUCUGAAAGAUUAUUACUGGAAGGAAUUCAUGACUGUUGAGGAGUGGCCCUCUGUUCUGAAGAGAAACUGACUUAGAGGAAACAUUCAGGGUACAUUUGACAUUACUGACUGAGGACAGUUCUCAAAGGUACUGUUCUCUUUUAACUACGCAAUCCUCAGGGUUCAGGAAUGAAUUAGAAGACAACUGCUUUGACAUAUAGGUGCUCACAAUUUUCUAAGGCCAUUAUAUAUAAUCUGUCCUGAUUUGAUGACUUGUUCCAUAGACUUGUUCAUUCCAUAGCAUCUUCCAGAUGCUAAGACCAAGCCCAAGGCUCUCACAUACAUGACAGGAAGUGUGUCAGUGCUUACGAAGUUAGAAUAUGAGUUUGGGGUAUCAAGAGAAAUGGUGAAUUCUCUUACAGGAAAUGGAACAGGAAGCACUCAGAGAAAAACACAUAGAAAGUAAACUAAUGCGUUCAACAGAUGCACCAUUCACCUCUGUAACGUCCUGAUGCUGUAGAGCUUGAAAGCCUUUAGAGCAUCCGGUAAGACACAUUUCAGUGGAAGGAACUAAAAAGACUAUAGGAGAAGAAAAUAGGAAAGUAUUUUGCCCUAUGCCAGAUCGAUGUGAUCCAUUAUUUACCCAUCAACUCUAGCCUAGUUAGAAUAAGUUCAUUCACUAAAAGAACAGUCGGAGAGCUACUGUUCUCUGAAGUUCUCUAUAACAGACUGAAGUCCAGAUUUCAGUGAUUAAGAAAGUUCAAAAGAAGGAGGUCAGGAGAAAGUGAGAAUCUCGCGACUAAAGGAUGGGUAGAGGUUUUCAUAAGUGAGGAUUAGACCAGUCUGUGUGCCAGAAAGGUGUUAACCUGAGCUUCCCGUAAUGAUAUUCUGCAUCACCAUGCUGUCCACACACAACAGACACAUGCAGACCUAUUAGCAAAUGAGUUUGAACUGGUGUGUGAAUUAUAAGUUUCCAGUUUUAAAAUUGUUGACUGGUAAUAUUUAUUAAAUACUAUUAACUCUUGGCACAGGAUAGGGGGAGAAGGCUAAAUUCUUCUUGCUUCCUCCUAUACACCCAUCAGUAAUGCACUGGUCAGCGUAUGCACGGAGGCCGAGCAUUACAGUGCGUGGUGGCUCACUAGGAACAGCCCUAGUGGAGUUAAUUGAAUUCCUAUCACCAAACUAGUUGUGGUAGGAUGCUGUGAAGGGGAGUGUGCUGCUAAUAAGCAAAGUCAGUUUGGCUGGAUUUACAACCAUUUAGAACAUGUAACCCCCGGGUGUCUGUGAGGACAUUUCCAGAGAGUUUAACUGAGGAAGGGAGACCCAAUCUAAGUAUAGGCAAUGCCAUCCUAUGAGGACCCAGAAAAAAAAAAAAAAAAAAAACAAAACCAUCUGAGUGCUAACACACUGUUCAAAGCUGAUCAACCCAAAAGAGAGCACAUUCCCACCACCAUGUCUGUCAUCCUCGCCUGUAGCCAUGUGUCCUUCCACGUGAAGGCAUUUAGAUACCUGCCAUCUAACCCCUUAAACUGUCAACCAAAAUAAGUCCCCUUUUCUCUCUAGUUGCUCCGUGUAAGAUAUCUGGUCAUAAGAAUAAGAAAAGUAAAGAACUUUGAAAACAGGUAUGGAGAGUCAAAGCCAUCACUGGGCAAAACCUGACCAUGUGGUCUGUAAACUUGGGGGACCAGUUUUCCAGAGUAAUGUGGAGCAAUUUGGAGUUACAGGCUAGAGAAACCCUAGAGUGGUAUACAGAGAAUGUCUUAGGCCAUCCACAGGUUCUAAGUGGUUCUAAAUCCAGGCAAGCUGGUAUUGAUUAUUAACUAUUUCUUCCACACCAUCCUACAAGAAGAAGGUCUUAUGGCAGAAUCAGUUGUCCUCAGAUCAUUGGGGCUUUUCCUAGUGAGCCGCCAUCACUGAAAUGUCAAGCUUCCAUGAAUAUAUUGACCAGUAAAUUACUGACGGCUGUAUCAGACAAAGCAGAGUCCAGCCAUAUCUUCCCAUCCCUUGCCAAGAAUUAAAAGUAUCUAAUAAAUAUCACCAGAGUCAGAAUUUUUAAAGCUGGAAAUUUAAAAAUCACAGGCUAGUUCAAAUUCCUUUCUUAAUACUUCGGCAGAAAUGCAGAAAGUAAGACUCAUGAGGUUCCAGAAGAGAAUGGAAUCCAACAAGGAGCCUUCAUGGAUUCUGGCACAGAAUCUGGCUGUGUAUUGCCCAUGUUCUGGAAAUUUGAGUGGGGCUGAAUUCAAAAGAAGUGGGACUAAGUUACUUGGUAGAGAAAAGCCAAGACAACCCAGCAUGCAGGCUGUGGUACACAGUUGUGUUUAUCGCUCUUACCUCUGCAAUGAGCGAGUAGAUGAUAUGAAAACUGCUGUUUUUAGAAAAUAAAAGAGAGUGGUGGGAGAAUGUAAUCAAAUUAGGGUGGGUGUAGAGAAAGUCACCACAACUGUUAGAGAUCCAAAGGACAAUAGGAGAGGUACCCUGGGGGCAAGACCACACCCAUGGAAGCCUCCACUUGUGAAAAUGCAAAUUCAAUGGAAAGGAAAAGAGCUUAGGCUGAGAAACCACCCCAAGGUUUUCCUACCCUCAGCCUAAGGAAGCCUUUGCCAGGGCACAGAGAUGUGUAGAGAUGUGGUUGAAGUAGUAUAAGUGGAAGGCAUCUGAGCCAGUGUUUCUAGGUUCUUGGCCUCCUGUUCAAAGGAAAGAAAUAAGACCUCACAGGCAUUCACCAAAGUAGCUUGGUAACUUUAUUCAAAGCAAAGAGAUAGAACAGAUUAGAGAGGUUGGGGAAGACCAUGAAGACUGACAGCAGGCCACAGAGGGAAGCUCAGUAGCCCCUAGGUUACAACCUGAGGUCUAUUUUAAUGGCAUCUAAAGAAACGGAGAGCCUGGUUAUUAAGGGACACGGUUUUCUAUUUUGAUGGUAAAUUAGGUCCUAUCUCCAUUUUCUUCUAUUGUGCCUGCCCCUUCCCCAAAUGACUCUAAUUAUAAUCAUAUGCAUGCCUAAUUUUUGUGUAAACAUACAAUGGAACCUUUCCAAAUUCUAUUCUGAGAACACAAUUUUGCCUUACUGCUCUUGUAUCUCAAACCAGUUCUUUCCAGAUUGGCUUUUGAAGUCUUUGAAUCUGGAUACAUGGGGGAUUUAUUUCAACAAAACUGAUCUGAAUAUUGUUAGGGGAAAAGCAGCUUAUUUCUUUGUCAAGGGGAGUACCUGUAUAUAUCCAGGUAGAGGUCUGAUGUUGCUAAGUAAAUUGUUUGGAAAGGGGUAGCUGUCUGCAAUACUCCGAGGUGAAGAGCCGGAUCACUGAGUUCAUCAUCAGAAGAGAUGGAUGCUCAGAUCCUAAUUCAAACAGAGUCCUAAGCUGCUAUUUCUGUGCUUGCUUGACACUGCAAGCUCGCUACAGAGCUUGGCAGCAUCACCCACAUGACGUUCUUUCUGCAGGCAUUCAAAGUGCAAGAGAUACAGGGAGAGGGAAGAGCCCACAGCAAGUUUCAGAAAGCCCUGAGGCCAGAUAAUGUGUGGUAGCCUCCUAUUUCCUGGAAGAAGGCCCUCAGGAUACAGUACAUAGAACUUUGAACAUAAAGCCUAUGUUACAGUGGCGAUCCCAAGGUGUUGGAGAUGGCAGGGCCAUGGGGCAUUAGUAGAGGAAAGUUGAAGGUCUUAAGUAGAGCCAGCCCAAGAGAAAAGAUGUUUGUGCUUUGGGCUACAGAACUGGAGAGGCUGGGCUAUCCUUGAGCACCAGAGCUCAGACUAUGCUACAUCAAGCUCCAGGUGUAAGACGUGGCCCUUUCUGUGAGCGGGUUUUGCUUUGGUCUGGUCUUUAUGGUGUUCUCAACCUCCAUUUUGGACUGGAAAUACUUAUCCUGUGCUGUUAUAUGUCAAAAAAUACCCACUUAUUUAACAAACAAAUAAAACGAAGGCUCAUAGAAAACAGGAGGACAGUAAAGUUCACGCCCUGCUUUGACUAAGGAGUGAGUCUGAGGAAAGCCUGGGCAACUUAGUGAGAACUUUUUGAAAUAAAAGCACAAUAAGAGGAAGGAAGGAAGGAAGGAAGGAAGGAAGGAAGGAAGGAAGGAAGCAAGGAAGGAAGCAAGGAAGGAAGGAAGGAAAGAAAGAAGGAAGAAGGAAGGAAGGAAGGAAGGAAGGAAGGAAGGAAGGAAGGAAGGAAGGAAAGGAUCCUGAGAUAUGCCUCAGGGUUAGUGUGUUUUGCUCAGCAUGCACAAGGCCCUGGCUUCAAUCUCUAGUGUUGCUAUCAGUCCCCUCAAAGUGUUCCAACAAUGUCAAACAUAACUCAGAAGUGUGUUGUUUCCUUACAGAAAGAAAGAAACUGUAGGCAUGCACAAUAGGAAAAAAUGUAUGCCAGGGUUAGAAGCAAUAAAACUACUUCAAAUCAGAGUAGUAAAUUUGAGACCUGGUAAAUUAGAACAGCAACCAAGGAAAUUGCCUGAAGUUUAAGUUGUAAGACGUACCUACUGUGCUUUAGUGCACACACUGAAGCAAGGCUUUGGUGGGACUGCUCGAGCUACUUCUGGAUAUUUCUGGUCCCCAAGGCUCAUGAUGCAACUUAGCUGCUGUUGGGUUGGUGUGCAGGUGGGACCUCUGCCUUUCCACUUCCACUGCCUGCCCCAGUAUGAAGAACAUGACAAGGACUCGAUCCCUGGCUUCCAGGCUUCCUCAGCCUGGAUCCUGUGAUGUAGCUGUGGUUAUCCUUGACUUUCUGUUCUUGUAAUUUUCUUAAGACUGUUUGUUGGGGGAAAUCAGAGGAAUGAAGAAGAAAACAAAACAAACCAACCAAAAAAUAACCCACAAAAACCAUGUAGGAACAUGGAGGGUUAAAGGUGCAACAGAUGCUGGAGUAGAAGUAGUAAAAGGGAGAAAAUAGAAUGGUGUGGGAAACAUCCUAUCUGAAGGGCGGUGUGCUGAAAGACAUGAAUCCUCACAUUGUAGAAUUAGUAUACAUACAUAUAUAUGUGUGUGUGUGUGUGUGUGUAUGUAUAUAUAUGUAUAUAUAUGUGUGUGUAUAUAUAUCACAGAGAAAUAGAAUGAGAAAUGUGUAUGCAAGUAUAAAUUUUUCUUCCUUUAAAAAGUAAUGCAGAUGCAAAUGUGGAACUAUUACUGUGACAUUUUUGUGAAAGGUAUAAUAUCACUAUAUUGCUUUCUUCUUAUUUACAUGUUUGACGUAUUUCAGACUUAGUAAUCAAAAUAUGAGUCCUGGAAUAUGAGGUCAGGAGAUAGUUUCCUAGUAUGAAUGAAGCCCUGUGCUUCGGUCACCAAAGCAUGAAGCCUGAGGUGAGGGUCGUGAUGAUAAUAUCAGCACUUGGGAAGAGGAAGCCGAGGGUCAGAAGUUCAAAAGCAUCCUAGGCUACAAAGGUCAUUAAGGUACAGUCUUGGCUGUAUAAGACCAUAUCUAAACCAAUAUAUAUGAAAAGUCAAAAAAGUGUUUAACAUUCGUUAAUAAAAUUCCAAUUGCUUAUUGCAAUAACUAUUGCCUCCUAGUCUCAAUGUACCGAGUCCCAGUCCUGAGUAGUAGGUAUCAAAGAGAGUGAAGCGGGCCCUUACUUCACUCUGAAGAGACUUAACAACUUGCCUUCAUGGUGGAAAUGUCAUUUAUGAGUGUUGUUGAACCAAAGCCCUCAGCCUGCUGCGGCUUUAUGGAACGCAAGCGCACACAUCUAUGUGGUUGCUUUCACUGUCUCCAACAAAAGUCAAGAUUUGCAAGCUUAAACUGUUUACUGUUUCCCCCUUUAAGUAAAGAUUUGUCAACCCUUGCCUUAAUGAUGCUUCUUUUUUAUUUCCCUUCAACAAAUUAGCAGUUUGUUUUUACAGUGAAGUCACAAGUCUUACACCGAUUCGAGGUAUAACAAUUACCUCAAUUUGAUGGUUAUAGAUUUGUUAGAGGGGAAGCCUGAGGUAAAACUAAACACCCAAGAACUGUAAAAAUAUCUCUGAGUGUGUGCUUGGCUGCAUCUUCCACCUUCGAGAAUCUCAAAUACUCAAGCAAGGCUGGUUUUUGGGGUAACGUGAGAGUACCAGUUAGCCUUUCUGAUGCUGGAACAGGACCAACUGCCCUCAGAUACAUAGCCCUCUUCCGUAAUGCCCCGCCACAGCCAAAGCCAAGGUCCUUUUACAUUAGCUUACAAUGUAGAGAAAUAACGUAUUUGUUUAGGUAUAGACUUUGCUGCUGAUUUAAAUAUGUUGUCCUUCCAUAUAUAUGUUAAUUUCCUGGAGAAGGGAUGGAGAUGCUGGCUCUUUACAGCUUUUUAGAUGCCUGACAUUCAUGUUAUCGUGCUAUCCGCUCUACAUUAUGCUCGACAAGAAUAAUUUUCCCAUUGGCCAUGGGUGAAAUGGGACUCCAAAACCUCUAUGUUUGCUUAUAGUGGCAGGAAGGCCUUUUUCUUGCUUUUUUCAAGCCAAGUUCUCUUCACUAAGAUUAGAUAUGUUCCUGAUUUAAUCACUUAAGAUAAUAACAAUUAUAAUAACAGCCUCUUUGAAGACGUAUUAUGACUUGCUGCAAACAACUGCAGGGAAAUUCCUGACACAGUACCCCAGGCUCUCUCUUUACAGACUGCACUGGCCCAUUUUGAUCAGUUUGUUCUGUGGAACCACCUCACCCUACCCUACCCAAACUUCCAUACACUCCUAGAGUUUGCACUUGGUUAGUCCCCUUUAAAGAUGGCAGCUCCUGAAUCUCAGCUCCUUUUGCAGGCCUCCAGUGGCCAGUUCACAAGCAAACAUUGAAUUUGUUUGUUCAUUAGCUAAUCAUUAGUAAAUCCCCAAACCUAUAAUGAGCUCACCACUCUCUGAAUUCCUGUAAUAUUGGUAAAAAUUAAAGAGUGCUGGAGAAUGUUUAUAUCGUGUAUGUAAGUAAAAUAUUGUUUCUGUAAUCUCAUUCAAGGCCAAAGACAAUGCCAUAUAUUUCUUUUAAAGUAGCAUUGAAAAGAGACAUGGGCAGGGAGUGACAAGCAGACAGAUGGGCAUGAUCCUACAGCAUGACAAAGAAUUGAGGAUUUGUCUCACCUUUACAUAUAAUGCAUAUAUACAUACUAUUUGAAUAAACAGCUAUUUGAUAAUAUCAGUUUAAAAAUCAUAUUACAUUAAUGAGACAUACUUAGAAAUUCAUUAGAAUUUAUGAGGAUCAAAUCACCCCUCCUUAAACACCGAUCAAAGGCAGAAGAAGAAAAAGGCAAGCAGAACAUCACUACUUCACCUUUGGUCCAAUUGAAAAACCAGUUUCAGAUGGCAUUCAUCUUGAAUGGCUCAUCAAAGCAUUGAGCCUGGACACAGGCAAAAAGAAAUGUGUCAUUUUUCUUUUCUAAGCUAGGAACUAUUCUUGUUCCUCGUUGAAAGUUAGAGUCAGAACCACUAGCUUUGGGCCUGGUAACUUAAGCCUCUUCAUUAUCCUUCUCCCUCUAUUUUUCAUUUUACAUCAGAUUUUCCAAGAUGCCGAAAUGGAUAAUUUCCAAAGAGCAAUAAACAGCUCCCAAAUCCUGAAAUAAACUAAUGUGUAAGACUACCUUUCCUGGGCUGGAGAGAUGGCUCAGUGGUUAAGAGCACUGACUACUCUUCCAGAGGUCCUGAGCUCAAUUCCCAGCAACCACAUGACAGCCAUCUGUAAUGCCAUUUGAUGCCCUCUUCUGAUGUAUCUGAAGAGAAUGUGCUCACAUACAUUAAAUAAAUAAACAAACAAACACAUCAGACCAGACCUUUAAAAAAAGGACUCUCUUUCCAUACAGAAAGUUUACAGAUUCUCAUUAUUCCCAGUGUCCUUCCAGAUUCUGCCCCUCCUUACCACCAGGCUUAAUUCCCUCCAGGCCUGGAGAGAGCCUGCCUUACAUUGUAGUUGUCACCACUAUACACUGGUUACGCUGUCCAAAUAAAAUGGACUUGUAUGCUUUCCAAUCAUCUUCCAAUGAAAUGUCCAGCAACCCUGUGUUGCCUUUUAGGAAAGAUGACAGGGGAGGUAGGGGGUUGGAAGGCAGCCCAAGGAUGAGAGAAAUAAUAAUAAAUGUUUAGGGCUGGUAGUCCUCUUAUAUGCCUAAGACUGAGAGAAGCAUUUCCAAGUAUUCAGUAACAAAGGAAGGCACGAUAUACUCACAGUACAGCAAGUCUGUCCCUAUAGAGCAGAACUGGAUGAGACAGGACUGUUUUCUUCCCCGGAUGAUUCACUAGUGGUUCAUACUAAAGGGAAAGUGUUGGAGAAAGAGUAACGACCAUAAUUCAUGCUCACCCUUUAAGAUAAAACCCACCCUCUCAUCAUUGAGCCUCUAGUAACUUAUAAGCAUUUAUUGUAUAAAUAGAUGUCGAAUAAGUCAAUCAGUUGUUAUUCUGGGAUUUCCUGAGGUGUACUAGUACUAACUUAUGUUACUCUUCAGGUGUCUAUUCUAGAACUCUGAAAUAACAUGUGCAUGUGUGUAUGUGUGUGCAUGUGUAUGAGUGCACUUGUGUGUGUUUGAGUAUGUAAGUGUAUGUGUGCAUGUGUGUGAGUGUGUGUUUGUGUGUGUGUGUGUGUGUGUGUGUGUGUGUGUGUGUGUGUGUGUGUCAGGUGGGGAUAAAGAGAGGUGUUUUCCCCCUUAUUCUCCACUUCAUUUUUUGAUGGGGUCCUCACUGAAUCUAGAUCUCAUUGAAUCACCUAGGUAGGCUGGCUGACAAGCUCCAGGGAUCUACCUGUCUUUGCUUCUUCCAUGGCUGGGUUACAGAUCUUACGAGGCAGUUUCCAGGAAUGUGAUAUAUGGUUUCACUCAGUCUAUCUGCAAAGGAUGAGCCUCGGCUUGGUCAGGGGUCCUAAGGAAGGGUUGUUUGAGAGAGGUGAAAAGAAUGACCCAAAGUCUGAUGGAACUCAGCAGUGGGUUCUGAUGAAAUCACACUGUUUAACAGGUCUCACAUGAAAGAUUUAUUGACAGGGAGGGAGACAGACAAUGCCUUGUGGGGGGAAAUGGGGGAGGAAAAAUGAGGGCUUUUAUCAGGGUCAUGGUACAUGCCAAGAGGACAUGCAACAGGGGCUACAAUGUAUCACCUCCAGGCAGCUGUGAUGACAUGUCUUGCUGUCUCCUGGUCCCUCAGGAGCUGGUUAAGAAGUUGCAUGAUUGCCAACAUUAUCUCGGGGUCCCUUUUGGUUGGUUGUGAAGGUACCUAAUUGCUAACAUUCCUGUCUUUUUCUUUUCAUAAAGAGAACUAGAAGGGGAGCAAUGCUGAUCUGGGAUGUCGGAUUUCUUAAACUGCUUUCUAUUGUCCAGGGGUGUCAUCAAUUUUGGGGUGUAGUUGAUUGAUCCUCAUCAUCAGGACUUAUUCCAUAGUUGUUGGCUUCUGGCUCCUCUGUGGCCAGAGGUUGGUAAUCUUGAAAGAGGAAUUGAUUAAUCACUUGGUUUGGAAAAAUGUUGUCAUUGGAGGAAUGUGUAGAAGUUGAUGAAGCAGGGUGCAAAUAAUAAAAACAUAAAAAUGAGAAAAAGAGGGUCAGGAGAAGCAGUAUCCAUUUCCAUGUGGGAUUUUCCAAGGCCCAGGGCUCAGAGACAUUGAGUUGUUCCUUAUGUUUUUGGAGGUCUGUUUGGAGUUGUUGGGUUUUAUUUUUUACUAUACCAACUGGUUGACAUAGAAGGAGCACUCCUUUUGGAGAAAAAGGCAAAGGCCAUCCUCUUCAGCCACAGGGUCUAGUCCCCAUCAGUUUUGAAGUAUCACUGCUGCCAGGGAAUCAAUGUGUCCUUGGAGGGUGAGUAUGGCUUGGGUCACCUGUUGAAGCUCUUGGAUAAACUGUGAAGAGAACUGAUGGUAUACGGUUAGGGAUGUGGCCAGUCUUGCUGUUCAGGUACCAACAACCGAAAUUGUUCUUGCAACAGCCAAGAGGGGCAGGAUUUAAAUUGAUAUGCUGAGCAGCUAUUGAAUCCACAACCGAGAUUGGUAGUGGCUUCUCUCUAUGCAUCAUCCCUAUUUUAGGGAAAAGAAACACCAGUGUACAAACUCCUGACCAACUAGCAGAUGGACGAUGAUAUCCCUGAGUACCAUAAAAAGUCAGCAUGUUCUGGACUGUAGGGCACUGUGGUAGAGAGGAGUUAUCAAGAAUUAUGGUUUUGUUACAGUCUAGGGAACUUAAGAUUUCUACAGAAUGUGUCCCGGAUGCCUUGAAGCAGUCUGCCAUGCCAAAAAGAGUGAUAUAGAAAAGGUAGGGGGUCAUGGCAUCACCAGGGUCAGGCCAGUUGGUGAAAGGCAAAGCAAGGGUAUUUGGCAGGGUCACUGGAGAAACUGUAAGUGGGAAUUGUAAGAAGGUUCCAGGGGACACACAUAGCAAGCAGCCAGGUUGAAUGAUAUUAAGGAGUGGAUAGGUUCAGGUCAGAGUCUGGAGCAGAAGGAAAAAAUGGAUCUCCAGUGGUUCCUCUGGAUAAAAAUGAACUAGAUUGGGGAAGAGAAACCCUUGUCUAAUCCAGUAGGGUGGAGUGCAACUGCCAGAGUGAAGCAUCAUUCUUCUGGGACAAGGUGGUUGGUUCUGAUGUCUGCUGAAGCUUAAAGGAACAGGGUCUUGUUGGGAGUCAAUAUGUAAGAAGUUAUUUUGAGGUGAAGGGGUAAAGGGUUUGGCAUGAGGCAGGUAAAUCCAGUGAGAGAGUCCCUCAAGCUUACCAGCUGAGGCCACUAGAAUUACCUUGAAGGGGCCCUGCCAUUUAGGUUAAAGAUGUGGUCAUGAAGGUAGGGAGGGGAAAGAAGGACCUGAUCUUCAAGGUUGGUAGGGAACGGACAGGAGAUAGUUAGUAUGCGACCAGGAUAGGUGUUGGUCAGUAAAGUUCCAUAUCAGGGAGCAGAGAUGACAGAGUAAGGGAGCAAGUGGUGAACGGUGAUCAGGGAGCAGAGAGGGUCUGGGUAAAAGACCAGGAGUCAGAACUAGUUGUCCACACAUGAUCUCAAAGAGUGAGAUGAAAAAGAGAUUGCUUGGGGAAAGUCCUUAGCCUAAAAAAAAAGCAGAGGUAGGAAUUUUACCCAAUCGAGGUGAAGUUCCUGGGACAGUUUGACAUGGGUGAUUUUUAAGGACUGGCUAGUCCCUUCUCUCUCCUGAGACCUGGAGAUGAUACAGAAUAUGAAAAUACCAAAGGAUGCUGAGGGCUUUAGAUAGGGUUUAAGAAACUUGGGAUGUGAGUUCAUGACCAUUGUUUGACUGGAGGGAGACCGGGAUUCAAAAUUAAAGGAUGAGAUCACGGAGCAGAUCAGAGACUAUCUGAGCCCUUUUUUGGUGGUGGGGAAUGCCUCUACCUACCCCGAGAAGGUGUUCACCAAGAUCAGGAGAUAUUUGACACAUUUAACAGUGUUCAUUGUGUAUAAAAUCAAGUUGUCAGUCAGUCCUAGGGCGGUUACCCCUCGCCCGGUGGGUAGGAUACGUGGAGUUGGGGUAUAAUGCAAAUUUUUCAAGAGGAAGUGAUAGAUUUAAGAAUGCAAGUCCUCAGGAGUAGACUGAAGGUGAAUUUUCACAAAGGUUUGACUGUGGGAAUGAAAGAGCUUGUAUAGAUAGGAUUGUAUAGCUAGGACAGUUUGACAAGUGUCAGAGGGUAGCAGGGGGCAAGUGGGUUAUACUGUGAGAAUAUCCUGUGGUGGGUGGAACAAGCCCCCAAGUACCUCAGCUCUAGCUGCCUCUUCAGCCCAGCUAUCACCCUUAGAGAUAAUACAGUUGUCCAUCUGGUGGAACUGGCUGUCAACAAAUCCAAAGGUCAUGGGGAGAUGGGAGGCUUUUAGCAUGGCCAUAAUUUGGACUGCAUUAGUUAUGGAUCCUCCUUUUGUUGUAAGUAUCUCAUGUUCUUUCCAGAUAGCAGAGUGGUACAGGAGAAUAUUUAGAGUCUGUAUAGAUGUUUAGGGAUUAUCCCUUUCCCAACAGAAAGGUAAGAGCUGUUAGUUCAGUCUGUUGAUUAGUGUUAUGGACAGGGACGUCCCAUGCCUUGACCACCUCAGUAUCUGACACUAGACCAUUGCCAGCUCUUCGGGCUCCUUCAUGGAUAAAGGAGAUGCCAUCUGUAUAUCAGGCAGAGAUGGCCUGAGACAAUGUGCCCUCCUGUUGUGUGAGGGAUGGGGCAAUAGUUUGUCUAAGGUUUUAGUGCAGGAAUGAGAUAGAGAGUGGUCAGCAUUUGGUUGAGGAAGAAGAUUUGAGAUAUUGAGAGGUUGGUAUAAUUGGAAAGUAAGCGUGGAGUCUUCUAUUAGUGCUGCACAAAAGGAAAGAAACUGGAGGAAGGUAGAGUCUGUAAGUUAGGAGCUGGGUCAGGUUUUGAGAAGAGAAGAUUGUGACAGAUGAGCCAAAGGGUAGUGUUUUGGGUUCUCCAACAAGCAGUUCAGCAGCUGCUCAGGGACAUAUGCAGGGUGCCCAUCCCUGGAUGGUCAGCUCUAACUUUUUUGGAAAGUACGCUAUGGGUGCAAAGGGGGGCCCCAGUUGGAUGACCUAAGACUCCAAGGACAUAUCCCUCUUUUUCUGUUAGAAGGGACGGGUUAAAUCUGUGAGUGUAAGGCUAGGACCUGACAAACAGUGAGCUCCUCCAAGCUCAUGAAACACUGGAACUGUGUCAGCAUGGAUUUAAAAGAACAAACUACUACCAUUCCAAAAAGCAAACAGUAGAGUUCUUCUGCGUGCUACACAUGGAAUGUUGUAAAUCUGGCCUCAACAUAGUUUGGAGAAUGUUGGGAUGCGAUUACAAAAUGAGAGAUGAAGAAUUCUCCAGCAUCGAUGCAAAGAUUUUACCUUUGUGGAAAGUAAUUAACACAGCACCAUGUACUGAAAAGAAGAUCCUUUCCUACUUCGAAGUGUAAUCCUUGUCAAAGAUCAUGUGAUUGAAUCCAUAGGAUUUUAUCUAGAUGUUUUCAUCCUGGUCCAAAGAGUGAAGUCCCCAUUUCAAUUCUGUACUGUCUCAGUUUGGGUCACAUUACAAUAAACCGUGCUGUCUGUGAGUGGAAGCUUUCAGCUUGCCUCCUUUUUUAAGACUUUAUUCUUCUUAGCACUUUAUAUUUCCUACACAAACACACACAUACACAAACACACACAUACACAAACACAAACACACACACACACGCACACGCAAACACACACACACUUCUUCUAUAACUUUUCCAACAUGAAUUAACAUUAGCUUUUUUUUUUUUACAUAACUUUCGGAUAUGUAUGUCUAUAAAUAAAUACAUCACAAUACAAGUUAGGCUGGGAUAACUGAGUUUUGUUACUCUUUUGGAAUGAGGUGACUAUCCGCUGGACUUUUUGCUGUGAUUGAAUUAAUCACUUUGGGAGAAAAUCGGGUGAAGACACCAAGUCUACUUCAGGAACACACUAUAAAGAAGUUUCUAAAUUUUUGCUCAAUAAAGAUUUCAGUCAGUACUAUCUUUCCUGAGAAAAUGGACUAUCCUGAAUCUAUUAUUUAUUUUGUUGCACAUUAAUGAGAGGGAACUCUCCAUCCAGAUCAUGUAUAAAGAGCACUUGUAGAAAAAGAAGAGCUUAAAAAAAUCAAUCAUCAAACAAACAAAUAAACAAGAAGCAAAAAAACAAAACACAGACUUUUCUCCUGUCCACCAAUACUCACAGCUGUGUUGGCUGAGACAUUUUUUGUGAUCUUGCCCCAUGUUUUCAUUUUGUCAUAGCCAACUUGGUAUUUUUAUGGAUGUCACUUACCCUUUAGUAGCAGUUAACAUAAAGGUUCCUUGUGAAUCAUUUCAUUUUUUGAAAAUGUGUACUGACGAGUUAGUUUCUACAAAAUAACUUGCCAUACGCUAUUAGUAUUUUCAAGUAUUCCAGAAACCUGUUCCCUCUGUAUAUUUAGUAUUUGCUGUGUGAUUUAAUCAUCAAAUACUGUACUGAUAACGCAUUCUUCCCCCCUCCCCCUCUCUCAAUCUCUGUCGCUUCAAUUUUAAUUUAGGUUCUCUUUCCUACUGAAUCUGACUAUAUAUCUACUUUAAAAUUCAUCAGUUGUAAAAAUUAUUGAUAGAAUUGCUUAUGAUCUGUUGUUUCAAAAAGUUAUGAUUGGAUACCAUUAAACUUCUUAUAUCUUUGACUUUAAAAUAAAAAUCAGUGGUUACAUUGCCUCUGCUCUAGAUCCAAUCCUGUUUACAUAAAUUUAUUGAAAAUAUUUUACUGAAAUUCUGAAAAAAGAUUACUCAAUUCUCACUCCUCAACCUUUACCAACCCUGCUCCCAUUCUCUACUACCUUCUACAUUUAUGCUUCUUGGCUGACUCUCAACUUUACUAACAAGCUAGCAACAGAAAACCCAGAAUUUGUGUAAGAACUUCAUGCUCCCAAGAUUUCCUAGGUAGAUAUAAAUCUUUUCUCCACAGGAUUCACAAAACUCAAUACAAAUUUAAUUAUCCUUCACAACAUGGUCAAAAGUUGGGGAAAUGAAAAAAAAACGCAGAGAUGAAAUUCAUAUCAAGAACAAAACCAAAAUCUAAAAACCAAUAAUAGCUAAACAACACCCAGCACAUGUGCACUCCCAGGUUAAAAUCCAAAGCUUUUAACUCCUACUGUACCUAACCUAAUUCAUCUCAUUGUGUUGCCUACAAUCUAUUUGUUAUCUAUAAAUAUUACAAAGUUACAUGCUAUCAAAGGGCACAGUUUUUAGGAAGACUUAAUACUUUUAAAAGUAUACCAUAAAUAGGAGCAACCAGCCAAGCAAAUUUUAACACAUAAUUUUUUAAAAAAUCAUAAAAUUAUUUACUUUAAUAAAGAAAUGGAUUUGACACAUUUAACAUGCCAAGAUACUCUAAUGCUUAUGGGUGGUUCUAAGAGACGUCCAUACUGAGGUGUACAGGCCAUUGUUGACAUUUGGCACGCUGCCUCAUGAAUUUUCAGGUGCGGGUUUGAUUAUUUUCCAUUUUAUGGUGUAAACUGAGAUGCUGUGUGCAGCUGUUUUCUCCAGGAUCAUCAGGUGACCAUGGGCUGUCAGACUACAUGGACGCUGGUUUCCACGGGAACCAGAGCCUUGUCCAGCAGAUCACAGACCACCCGUUUUUACAAAUGGCUUCUACAAAGAAGCUUUUUUUUUAAAAUUAUUAUUAAAUAGAGAUAUAUUUAACUCUGCAAAUGUUAUUCUUAAAUUGGUUUGCCUUUGGAAAGAGAGGUUUUCACUCUCCUGAAAAUUAAAGAAUAUUAUGAUCAUAAUCCAUAAACUCAAAUUCAGAGAGCCACUGUCACUAUUUAUUUAGUAUUGAUGAAACUUGGUGCUUUGAAUACAACUUAGAUCAUUAACUCUUUUAACAGGGCAAAAGAUACAAGGAAUAAAAGAUGUGAAGCUAAAACCUUUGUCAGAAGCAGUUGUUUCAGAAGAGCUACUGACUAGGAAAUAGAAUUUUUUUCCUCAAUGUCCUCCUCAACUGUUCCCCUUAUUUUAUCUCACAAUAUUAGCAUGUUGGAAAAUGAUUCAGAAAAUACAAGAGCAUGAAGAAAGGACUUGUAGCCAGGCAUGGUGGUCCUUACCUAUCAACCUACUCUGUCAUCCAAAGUAAUCCCAACACUUAGGAGGCUGAAGCAGGACUCUGAGGGGCCAGCCUGAGCUACGUAGUCAUCUCUGAUGACAACAGAGCAGAAUUCUCAGGAAGAAAGGCUUUUGACUCCGGGGCCACGGAGCCAGAGAUAGAGAGGACCCUGUAUUUUCAGGUUCACUUCUCCUGAAAAUGAAGAACUAUGUUGUCAAAGUACCCAGAUUUCAAUCAUGAUGUUAUUUAAUGUUACAAUGGGAACAAUAAAGUCUGUUUUACAAGUGUGUGCACAUAGUCUAGGUGAUCCAGGGAUGUCCGUGGUCAACUACCUGUGUCCUUGUUAGAACCCUCCUCCCCCAGACACCACUAUCAUAAAGUCCAGAACAAUUGCCUUCUCUACGACUAAGAAACAACUCUCUGCUAUUUGUCUCGGUAACAGUCCUUGUUCGGAAAUAAGGGACUGUGUUGUCUCAUUCACAAUUAUAUAGUGUUUGUUUACAAAUGGCUUGUUGCUUUCCAUGAGAAAAUUUAUCUCUUUAUGCUCUCCUUCCUCAAAGUCAUUAAACAUGGCCAUUCAAAAAUGUUCUUGUCUUCUUUCUACCAGAUCAUGCUUCCGCUGUGUUUAAUACACCGAGUAAGGCUUGUCAACGACACAGUUUGUACAGGUUAAUUCUUAUUAGAACACUUCCUUCUCCAUCCCCAUUCCCUCUCUUUAAAUUAAACACAUCUUUCUCUUCAUAUGACCUUCAGUUACAGUUGCAUGUAUGUGUCAGCGAGGCUCUUUCCACUGUAAUUAAUGAAAAGCCAGGCUAACAGUAGCUUAAACCAUCAGAAUACCAACUGUUUACAUAAACAGAAGUCUGGAGGCAGGGCUGUGCCUGGGAGACAGCAGAUCAAAUUAGACCUAAGGCUGUCUUAUGGCUUCCGUGGUGGCAGAAACCAAUCUGAUUUCUGUCAGUCUGGGCUGAGUUAGUAAUUGAAAACACCUAGCUUAAGUGAGGGCAGAAGCAACCAGCAGGCAGAUCAUGUCAGAGCUGGGAAUAACACAUACCAACCUGUUAAGAUAAGCUAUUAGAAAGGACUUGACAACAACUCGGUCUCACAGAAAUAACAGGUAACAAAUCUGUUUUCUGGGGAAACUAGAUGGAAAGAGCUGGGGGAAAGAGCUGGAAUGUCCGUGACUAACUUGUCCUCAUUUAUCACACAUUAAAUUACUGCUUGAUACUCGUGAGCCACCCUGGCCCGAGGAGGUCAGGGCACUGGUGGCUAAAGACUAUUCUUAUUUUCAAGCUCAUAUUCUCAUGGAGAAGACAUGCAUAUAAAUAAUUACACUCCCAUGUGUUGAGUGUUCUAAUGGUUACAUACAAAAUGAUAGGGAAACCACACAGACAACGACUCCACCCAUGAUGCCAGGGAAGGCACCUCUCUAAAGAUGGCUUCAAGGAAGGAAUGUCUCAGUUAACCUUUCCUGCUGUUAUGACAAGUACAGCUUAAGGGAGAAAGAGUUUAUUCCUGUUCAUAGUGGAGGGGGUCCAUUGGACAUGGUAGGGAAAUCGAGGAAGCAGGAGCUUGAAGCAGUGUCAUGUUAGGCCUGCAUUCAGAAGUGAGACCAAGGAAGGCAAGGCUGUGCUCAAUUUGCUGCCUCCAUUCUAUACAGGUCAGGGUUCUCCACCCAAAGAACAGCCCCACCCACCAUUAAGUUGAGUUCCCCAUCAAAUAAUGCAGCCACAGGCAUGCGCAGAAGUCCAUCUCCAUUCUAGAUCCUACCAAGCUCACAGUUUUAAUAGGAACCAUCACAAGGGGGAAAACAGUCCAAACAUCAGAACAGGUUAGGAAGUGAAUGCAGGGAAUGAGCACAGAAAAUUACCUCACAAGACUUAAAUGUUGCUGUCAUCAAUGCUGUAAAUGCACAUUUAUGACGCAAAGAUUAAUAUGUUGAUGACCUGUUAUGGGUUCUCCCCAUAUUCAGUUGAUAAAAGUUUUGGCCUCUAAGAGAUUAUUACGUAUCAAAGAAAGUGAUAGCUACGUUAGCUACAUAAUAGUAGACAUCUCUGUCUCUCUGUCUGUCUGCCUGUCUGUCUGUCUCUCUGUGGAUUUUAGAGGCAGGGUUUCUCUGUGUAGCCCUGGCUAUCCUGGAGCUUGCUAUGUAGACCAGUCUGGACUUAAACUAAGACAUCCACCUGCCUCUGCCUCCCAGAGCUUGGCUUAAAACUGUGCACCACCACCACCACCAUAUUUCAAAUAAGAGA